GGAAGACAUUUUAAUCAUAGGUAGUGAUGAUGAGGCCAUUUUCUCUCAAAAGUAUACUCCAUACCAAUUUCACAUUAAAGACCUUGGCAAUCUUAAAUAUUUUUUAGGUAUCAAAGUAUCACAAUCUAGAAAGGGUGUGUACAUUUCUCAAAGAAAGUACUGUUUAGACAUUCUUUAUGAUGCAGGUUUAUUAGGAGUGAAGCCCAUUACUUUUC
rnacentral:misc_RNA from 1 species